rnacentral:piRNA from 3 species
UAAGAAGAAACCAGCAUCAUUGAAGUG